rnacentral:rRNA from 1 species
GUCUCAAAGAUUAAGCCAUGCAUGUCUAAGUAUAAGCACUUGUACUGUGAAACUGCGAAUGGCUCAUUAAAUCAGUUAUCGUUUAUUUGAUUGUACUUUACUACAUGGAUACCUGUGUAAUUCUAGAGCUAAUACAUGCGAAAAAUCCCAACUUCUGGAAGGGAUGUAUUUAUUAGAUUAAAAACCAAUGCGUACUUUCGGGUUCGUUUUCUUGGUGAUUCAUGAUAACUUUUCGAAUCGCAUGGCCUAGAGCCGGCGAUAUUUCAUUCAAAUUUCUGCCCUAUCAACUGUCGAUGGUAAGGUAGUGGCUUACCAUGGUUAUAACGGGUGACGGAGAAUUAGGGUUCGAUUCCGGAGAGGGAGCCUGAGAAACGGCUACCACAUCUAAGGAAGGCAGCAGGCUCGAAAAUUACCCAAUCCCGACUCGGGGAGGUAGUGACAAGAAAUAACGAUACGGGGUCUUAAUAGGUCUCGCAAUUGGAAUGAGUACAAUUUAAAUCCUUUAACGAGGAUCAAUUGGAGGGCAAGUCUGGUG